GGCUGUCGUCAGCUCGUGUUGUGAAAUGUUGGGUUAAGUCCCGCAACGAGCGCAACCCUUAUCCUUUGUUGCCAGCACGUUAUGGUGGGAACUCAAAGGAGACUGCGGUGAUAAACCGGAGGAAGGUGGGGAUGACGUCAAGUCAUCAGGCCCUUACGAGUAGGGCUACACACGUGCUACAAUGGCAGAUACAAAGAGAAGCGACCUCGCGAGAGCAAGCGGAACUCAUAAAGUCUGUCGUAGUCCGGAUUGGAGUCUGCA
rnacentral:rRNA from 1 species